GAAGCAGUUAAGUCAAUUUAACCAGAGAGAAAACUAACACGAGAGAGAAGAUUACGACCUUUUGCAUGUUACCGAUGUUACAAUACUUUAAAAUGCCCUCGUGCACUAACGCCCCCUGAAGAAGUGGAUGUAACUAUAUAGCAAUAUUCACUUUUCUGCACUGUGGAUUACGGAUAUUUCCGGCGAGUAACAGUGUUCGAUUUUGUUCCAUGUUAUGUAUAUCGUUUGGUUCUAUUCUAUAUGCUAUAUAUUUUCCUUCAAUCUUUAAUAAGAUUGAACGAAUUCCCUGUAGCCCCUUCACGCAUUUAAAGCGUCCUUCGUAAGCUCUUCCGCAGUGCCACCUCCUACUAACACGGAUUUGCCAGAGAUAAAAAAAAGAAAUUUUCCUUCUCUUGCCGACUGAUGACAGCCAGCGGAUAAGCGUAUAAGUAAUUUUACGCUUUUUGAAACAAUGGGCGAAACGCGUCACGAAGGGCUAUUGUACUAAUUAAAUUAAUAAAAAAAUGAAUUUAAUAUUUACUAAAAUAUUUACUUUGUCUCUAUUUUAUGCACGUAAUGAUACGCGCGUUCAAAAAGUAAAAAGAUAACAAUUAAUAAAAAUUUUCUAUUACUCUA